GACAGGAAGUUGAGUGAGAAUGCGAUGUGGAAGCUUGACUAAUUCGUGAUGGAAAAAGUCGGUGUAAAGUUUGCGUUUUUCUACUCGACAGUGUUUGUCAGGUUUUUUUAUUCUUUACUUGAGAUAUUUCUGUUUGCAUUGGCUUCUCAUGUGUACGUUAGCUCAUUAGCUAACCGUGUGUAUUUUUUAGCAUUCAUUAGCAAAGCGAAUGGACCCCUAGCAUUUCACAGCUAACACAACACAGCGCUGAAGGUGACAGUUCAUUGUUUUCGAGGAGAAAACCGUGAGGAUUGAAUAGACUGCGGGGGAGUCAUCGAGCUAGCAGCUAACAGCUAACACUCAGAGUAGCCUACCUGUGAUGGUCCACUGCGGUCCAGGGCGGGAGAGAUGACGUCAUGUCCGGACACCUGCUCACCCACCCUGUUCGUCAUCUGAGGCAUUGAACUGGGAACUGAACCGAGUCCCAGAUCUGCCCUGAGCCCUCGGGCAGCAGCACGAGGACAGGGAGCUAUCCACCUUCCACGGCUCUCAGUGGCCUGAAGAUUAUUGGGGAGACACGCAGGCUGCGUUUAACUAACCCCCAACACUUCACAGCGUCUUUCUGUGGGACGGAGGCUUAAACUGUCUGUCGUACUCAGACGUUUGAAAUAACACAUUUAUGAAAUUAAAAAAGAGACAUUUAAAUAAUAAUUAUUCUGAUUUUAUUUAUAUGUUGGGCUCAAACUCUAUACUCAUGUCCACAAACGGAGCGAGUUCAGAGAAUUUUAGAGGGAGUUUAUUUGCUGUAGGUUCUUUGUUUUACAAAUCCGUGAACAAAUCCUCAAAUCAGUUCAACAGCCAUUUAUUUCUUCAGUGUGAAAAGUUGAAUCACUUUCAGAGCCGCAGGUCUGGGCGGAGGCCUGACCAGCAGAGCUAUUCAGGCUGUCAGGUCGUCAGCCAAGCUCUCGCUCUCUCCCAAAUUUGGCUUUUUUUGAAGGGAAACUUGUAGCAGUCAGUAGUUAAGGCCAAGGAGAUGUGUUAAUAUAUGAAUAGAAGAGGUAUUUUUUUAACCUCAUGUUGUUAUUCCUGGCCCUCACUAUCUUCCACAUGGCCACAAAUUUGUCAUCAAGUUCUUUGAGCGGCAACACUGGACUGUUUUCAUUUGUUUAACUUUUAUGUCUCUGUAAGAGUGUUUUUAUGAAAUAAACCACUGAUCCGUCAGUGAAUAUGACUGAUGUAUUUCAUAUUAACCAAAUAAUAACUACGUGGUCUGCUUUAAAUGAAAUUAAAUGAUUCAAAUUUA